rnacentral:rRNA from 1 species
GACGAACGCUGGCGGCGUGCUUAACACAUGCAAGUCGAACGGACCAGUCUGUAGCAAUAUGGGCUGGUUAGUGGCGAACGGGUGAGUAGCGCGUGACUAAUCUACCCCGGACUGGGGAACAACGCUGGGAAACUGGCGCUAAUACCGCAUAUUGAGCUUGAAGGACAUCCUUUGAGCUUGAAAGCUUCGGCGGUCCGGGAUGAGGUCGCGUCCCAUUAGCUGGUUGGUGAGGUAAUGGCCCACCAAGGCGACGAUGGGUAGCUGAUCUGAGAGGAUGAUCAGCCACACUGGGACUGAGAUACGGCCCAGACUCCUACGGGUGGCAG